rnacentral:tRNA from 1 species
UUCCUGAUGGUCUAGUGAUUAGGACUUGGCACUUUCACCGCUUUGGCCCGGGUUCAAUUCCCGGUCUGGGAA